GGGCCUGUAGCUCAGUCGGUCAGAGCACCGGACUCAUAAUCCGUCGGUCGUGGGUUCAAGCCCCACCAGGCCUA
rnacentral:tRNA from 1 species